rnacentral:rRNA from 1 species
ACUCAAAGGAAUUGACGGGGGCCCGCACAAGCAGCGGAGCAUGUGGUUUAAUUCGAAGCAACGCGAAGAACCUUACCAGGUCUUGACAUCCCCUGAUGACCCUAGAGAUAGGGAGUUCCCUUCGGGGACAGGGAGACAGGUGGUGCAUGGUUGUCGUCAGCUCGUGUCGUGAGAUGUUGGGUUAAGUCCCGCAACGAGCGCAACCCUUGUAUUUAGUUGCCAUCAGGUAAAGCUGGGCACUCUAGAUAGACUGCCGUAGAUAAUACGGAGGAAGGUGGGGAUGACGUCAAAUCAUCAUGCCCCUUAUGACCUGGGCUACACACGUGCUACAAUGGCCUGAACAACGGGUAGCGAAAUAGCGAUAUGGAGCCAAUCCCACAAAACAGGUCUCAGUUCGGAUUGCAGGCUGCAACUCGCCUGCAUGAAGUCGGAGUUGCUAGUAAUCGCGAAUCAGAAUGUCGCGGUGAAUGCGUUCCCGGGCCUUGUACACACCGCCCGU